AGAAUCAACGCUGGCGGCGUGCCUAACACAUGCAAGUCGAACGAGAAAGCCCGCAAGGGUGAGUACAGUGGCGACCGGGUGAGUAACACGUGGACAACCUGCCACCGAGUGGGGAAUAACCCUGGGAAACCGGGGCUAAUACCGCAUAACACUUUUGAACUUCGGUUUGGGAGUUGAAACCCGUAAGGGGCUUGGUGAGGGGUCCGCGGCCGAUUAGCUAGUUGGUGAGGUAACGGCCCACCAAGGCUUUGAUCGGUAGCCGGCCUGAGAGGGCGGACGGCCACACUGGAACUGAAACACGGUCCAGACUCCUACGGGAGGCAGCAGUGGGGAAUUUUGCGCAAUGGGGGAAACCCUGACGCAGCAACGCCGCGUGGACGAUGAAGCAUCUUGGUGUGUAAAGUCCUUUCGGCAGGGAAGAAACUGGAGCAAUCCAGCUGACGGUACCUGAAGAAGAAGCCCCGGCUAACUCCGCGCCAGCAGCCGC
rnacentral:rRNA from 1 species